UACGUAGGGUCCGAGCGUUGUCCGGAUUUAUUGGGCGUAAAGAGCUCGUAGGCGGUUCCGUAAGUCAGAUGUGAAAACUCAGGGCUCAACCCGGAGACGCCAUCUGAUACUGCGGUGACUGGAGUCUGGUAGGGGAACACGGAAUUCCUGGUGUAGCGGUGAAAUGCGUAGAUAUCUGGAGGAACACCGGUGGCGAAGGCGGCAUCCUGGACCGGCAUUGACGCUGAGGCGCGAAAGCCAGGGGAGCAAACGGG
rnacentral:rRNA from 1 species